GAUGAACGCUGGCGGCGUGCCUAAUACAUGCAAGUCGAGCGAACGGACGAGAAGCUUGCUUCUCUGAUGUUAGCGGCGGACGGGUGAGUAACACGUGGAUAACCUACCUAUAAUACUGGGAUAACUUCGGGAAACCGGAGCUAAUACCGGAUAAUAUUUUGAACCGCAGGGUUCAAAAGUGAAAGACGGUUUGGCUGUCACUUAUAGAUGGAUCAGCGCUGCAUUAGCUAGUUGGUAAGGUAACGGCUUACCAAGGCAACGAUGCAUAGCCGACCUGAGAGGGUGAUCGGCCACACUGGAACUGAGACACGGUCCAGACUCCUACGGGAGGCAGCAGUAGGGAAUCUUCCGCAAUGGGCGCAAGCCUGACGGAGCAACGCCGCGUGAGUGAUGAAGGUCUUCGGAUCGUAAAACUCUGUUAUUAGGGAAGAACAUAUGUGUAAGUAACUGUGCACAUCUUGACGGUACCUAAUCAGAAAGCCACGGCUAACUACGUG
rnacentral:rRNA from 1 species